ACCCUACUACCUCUGUCCGAAAAUACUUGUCAUUAAAAUGGAUAAGAAUAGAUGUAUCUAGAACUAAAAUACGUCUAGAUACACACAUGUUUAUCCAUUUUGAUGACAAAUAUUUCCGGACGGAGGGAGUACAUC
rfam:Triticum aestivum genome assembly, contig: Triticum_aestivum_CS42_TGACv1_scaffold_129969_2BL